CACCUCAUGAUUCCUAAAUACAGUGUUUUUUGCUUUACACAGUGGUGUGAGACUGUAAAAAUGACUAUGCAGGCUGAGUUUGGAGCAUAGGGGUCUUAAUAAUCAGUGGGAAAAUAAUGGUACAUAAACAUAUGUCAAAAUUUUUAAAGCACUAUUCCUGUUAGUUAUACAUUAUACCGUGGUGUAGGCCAGCAGCUGCAGUUCCAAUUCAACCCCUAGCCCAGGAACUUCCAUAUGCUGCAGGAAUGACCUUAAAAAGAAAAAAAGAAAAAACAAAACAAAACAAAACAAAACUAGUAUACUGUAAUUUAAAACAUUAAGAAUUUAAAUGUUUUAUUUCUUUGUAAAAAACUUAUCCAGAGUAGUCUGAAUAGUGCUUGCCUUCUUGUCAUAUAACUUACCAUAUUGGGCACACGUCCCUUCUGUGCCUUGGUGUUUUGUCAUACUCCUUCCUAAGUUUGGAAUCAGCUUCCAACAUUUUAUCCUUUGUGCUAUCAAUGUCAUGAAAUAGCUCCAAGAAUUCCUUUAAUGUGCGGUUUUUGCCAGCAUCCCUUCCUCUGGGACAUCUUCCUCCUUUUCAUCACAACCACUUUCCUCAUUAUGGUGAUUAGUUUGCCUUCCCUGAGUUCCUCUGGUGCAUAUCUAGUCUCUCGAAUGGCAGCAGUGUCAACAAUUCCACGCUUAACUGUUUCUUCUGUAACUGUUUACAUUCCAGCAUUAUGACUUUUUUAUUCUUUGUUGGCCAAUUCUCUUUAUCCAUUAUUGGGUUUAUCACUGGAAGAUAAGCCCACCAGACACUUUAUUGUUUGUGUGUAAACCUGAAUAACAGAUUCAUAGUGACCAGUCACCAACAGACUUUGAAAGAAGAGAUGUGAUUUGUCACUGAUCAUGUGAUCACAGUGCACAUCUGUUAUUUAUAAUGUGAUUUUUGAAUGAAGAGCUAGCAGUGAAAUUUGUACCUUUAUGCAGUUACAUCUACUAUCCCAUGGCAACAGAAAUGUGAACCCUGUUUUUGAAGGACUGGUGUUUGUUUAGCUAUUAUAAUGGGAAUUUUCGUGUUUCGGAAUCAUGCCCAAUGAGGAUGGCCUUAGUCAAUUCUUACAUCUACCCCCAAGUCUGUGCCCAUUUCUAGUUCCUGGUCAGUUUGUCAUCUACUCUAACUUUAGGUCUUUUUCUGACAUAAAGCUUUACCAACCUCAUCUUAGAAUUUUCUUUCUUCAUCAGGAGUACCACGUUAGGUCUUUCCUCUUAGAUCUUUAUACUUUUGGUUUCCACUAUAAAGUACCCAUUUAGUCUCUAAAGUUUCUCUGGAAUAUUGAUUCCAUUCCCAAGUUUACUAGCAUCUGCAAAUCAAAUAGACAUUUCCCAACUCAUUUACAUGAAUACUAAUUAUCCUCACAGAAUGCCGGUUAUACUGAUUGCCUCCCAGGUUGACCCAGCCAGCUCGGUGUUAUCUUUUUGGUCCUACAGUUUAAUCAGUUCUGUUAGCUUAAGGCCAGUGGUUCCCAGUUCUGGUUCAUCAUCAGGAUCUUCCAAGGAGCUUUGCAAACCACUUCCCAAGCCCUGUGACGGUCUGCAGAGAGGCCUUGAAAUCUAUAUAUUUUAAUGCUCCCAUGAAAUCAGCUAGGUUUGGUCUAUAAUAUGAACCAUGUUCUCCUCCUUCUUAGUAACUUUAUCAUAGGCUAGUAGAACUUUAGAAUUGAUAGAUGUAUUAGAGACCAUUUUUCCAAACCUACUGAAAAGUAAGAAAAGUAAGACCCAGAGAUGCUAAAUGAUUUGGUCAUGGUCUCAGAAUUUCAGACAGAGUCAGGACUAGAACCCAUGUUUCCAAAUUCUGAACUUAGUACUCUUUCUACCUAAUUUCCAUCAUAUGGAACACAGAAUUAUUGACUAUCAACUUUGAGCUCUCCUGGAGUGAUCUUUUUUCCCUCAGGUAUGAAUGUAUCUGUGCAUUAACUUCUGAGGAGAGAUGCCCCAAUAGGAUUCUCUAUAGCACAUGGGUUAUAGUGGUUAAGGCAAGGAUUUUUGAUGGAGUAGGUGCUGCAGGCCCUGGAGAAGCUCUGGGAGGCUCAGUUCAGUCCUGCUCUGGUGCUUACUCUCUGCCUGCUCUGUGCCUGCCCAAGCUGCUGCCUCUGAUGUACUUAGAUGUCUGUUUGAGUUGUACACAGUGUUUGUUUCCAGAGGCUGUUUGUAUAACUACACACACUGCCUGACAGGAGAGGAGGAAGGCGGGGUGGGGUGGUGAUGUCCUAUUCUGUGAAGCUUUUUCUAUUUCAAUGAGACAUUGCUUACAACUAAACUAAGACUCUAGCCUUCAGGUUUGCUGACAGAGGAAAAUGAGUCUGUCUGUAAUACUGAGAGAAAAACUAAGAAGUAAAGCCUAUAUUCCUUUGAUAUGUUUUAUGUGUUCAUGAAAAAUGAAUGGGGAAUGCUGAAUAAAGUGUAUGAACAGUUAAUGUUUACAUACUGAGCUCAGCAUCAAAAAUAAAAACAAAAACAAAAUUUGUCUACUUCCUAAUCUCCCUGAGCUCCCUGUCACAGACAAUGGUGUUUGAAAUGCUGAUGUGUCUAGUAGCCAUUUUAAAGGAGAAGCUUCAUAAUCUUUGGAGCUGAAAUCCAGGGACUUUUUAUAAAAGAUCCCUCCUCUCAAGCACAUGCUGCCCUCCACCCAGGCCUCCUACUAGGCCCUGGAGGGUGAAAGAUAGUGUUUCACUGAAUCAGGGCAUUUUAGAGCUGGAAGAGGCAUUAGCACUCUGCUGGAGUUCCAAGUUCUUGGUUUUCUCCCGAGACCCCGAAUGGUCAACAAACUUGGCUUCAGUCACACAGCCAGUUUGGAGCUGGACUUGACUAGAGCUCAGGUCUUCUGACUCCUGGGCCAGUGUGGUUUUGACUGCAUCAUGUUGUACAUAAAAACAUUUUCAGACUUCUUUUAAUGUGAAAUUCUAGUGAUUUGGCAGUUGUGAAUUUUAGUGGCUAUGUCAGACUUUUAGAGGGGAUAAAACUGCUUUCUGGGUUCCAAUUGGAAUGAAUCCAACUAGUAUCCAUGAGGAGGUAGGUUCGAUCCCUGUCCUCGCUCAGUGGGUCAGGGAUACAGCAUUGCCAUGAACUGUGGUGUAGGUCACUGACAUGGCUUAUAUCCCAAGUUGCUGUGGCUGUAGUAUAGGCUGGCAGCUGUACCUCCGAUUCGACCCCUAGCCUGGGAACUUUCAUAUGGUCCAAGUGUGGCCCUAAAAGGCAAAAAAAAAAAACCAAAAAACAAAAAACCCUGUCUUUGCAAGUAGCUCGGAGAUGGACCUGAGCUCCUUAUCUCAAACCAGGGGCCAGAAAGGGGCCUCCAUUUUCCAGUAAAGGUCUACUCACUUGAGAUGGGGCCAUAAAGUUAGGCUACAGAAAAAGUGCAGAAGCCCCAAGCCAAGGAAACAAAAAUGAAAACUGGUCCAAGGACUGAAAACAACAGCAGGAAAAAAACCUAGCCAUGUCCCCAGCCUCUUCACUGAGAUAACUUUUCAACCCACAGCAGAAAGAGUCUCACAAAAGGCAACUCUCACUGGAGCUGAACUUAGGGAAAAAAACAAAGCCCAUUUGUGGAUAGAACCAAGAACCUAUAGAUGAUAGAGCAACCUGAAAGGAACUUUAAGUCUGCUUAAAAUGUUCAAGAGGUAAAGGAAGAGAGAGACUCAAACCAAUAGGACAUUAGGAGGAUAUUCUUCAUUAUCCAGUUGGUUCUUUGCAGGAGUAUUUACCUCAAAUGUAAGGUUUCUGAGAUUGAUUUUUACAGGCAAAUCACAGAUUUGGACCCAUCGAGUAUUCAAGUAUUCCUUGGUGGUGGUAACUUUCCCCCUUUUAAAUAAUUUUUGCCUGUUGCUAGCUUCACCAAAACUGAUAAGUAAACACCAUUCACCUUCUAAAGGCAUGCCUAGCUUUCCUGAGAGUGGGUUCCUGUACAGACUGCAAUUGCCAUUGCUUGGUUCUUGAAGAAAUGGUUCUGCAGUGUCAACUCCUCCACAUUCCUGGUGUGUUCCGUCUCUGAUUUAUUCUGCAUUACCGGUUCAGUCAACACUGCAGGCUGAAGCUGUUAAAGUGGAAGGCCCUACCCUCCACAAUUUUUUAGGUGACUCAAGUUUCCAGAAAAUUCUUUUAAGAAAUAGAGAAAGGAGUUCCCAUUGUGGAAGAUCCCAACGUUGUCUCCCUGAGGAUGCGAGUUUGAUCCCUGGCCUCUCUUGGUGGGUUAAGGAUCCGACAUUGCUGAGAGCUGUGGUGAAAGUUGUGACUGUGGCUCGGAUCCGUAUUGCUAUGGCUGUGGUGUAGGCCGGAAGCUGCAGUUCCAAUUCAGCCCCUGGCCUGAGAACUUACAUAUGCCACAGGGUGCAGCUG
rnacentral:lncRNA from 1 species